rnacentral:rRNA from 1 species
UACGGAGGGUGCAAGCGUUAAUCGGAAUUACUGGGCGUAAAGCGUGCGCAGGCGGUUCGCUAAGACCGAUGUGAAAUCCCCGGGCUUAACCUGGGAACUGCAUUGGUGACUGGCGGGCUAGAGUGUGGCAGAGGGGGGUAGAAUUCCACGUGUAGCAGUGAAAUGCGUAGAGAUGUGGAGGAAUACCGAUGGCGAAGGCAGCCCCCUGGGCUAACACUGACGCUCAUGCACGAAAGCGUGGGGAGCAAACAGG